rnacentral:rRNA from 1 species
UACGGAGGGGGCUAGCGUUGUUCGGAUUUACUGGGCGUAAAGCGCGCGUAGGCGGACCUGCAAGUCGGGGGUGAAAGCCCGAGGCUCAACCUCGGAACUGCCUUCGAUACUGCGGGUCUCGAGUCCGGGAGAGGUGAGUGGAAUUCCUAGUGUAGAGGUGAAAUUCGUAGAUAUUAGGAAGAACACCAGUGGCGAAGGCGGCUCACUGGCCCGGUACUGACGCUGAGGCGCGAAAGCGUGGGGAGCAAACAGG